CAUUUUCUCCAUUCUUUGUUUUUCAUUCUCUAAACAAACAUCUCUAAAUAAUAUCUCUUCUCCAUUCUCUUUUUUUUUCCAUUCUCCUUCUCAUGUUCAUUCAUUUUAUUCACUUCUUUCAUCUAAAUCUAAAACAAUUUCCACACAUAUAUGGCAUCUUCCUCCCACAACUCUCUUGAGGGACCAAUUGAUGAAAUUUUCGAUCAAUAUUUUGAUCAAUAUUUCGAUCAGUAUUUUGAUCAAUAUUUCGAUCAAUAUUUUGAUAAACAUUUUGAUCAAACGUUCGAAAAUCUGGUAUCAAAAGUUGAAAGGAGGGCAAUGAAGAAGAUGUUAGACGAUGGAUUCGAAGACAAGGCCAAAGACCAGAGGAAACUGAAGUGUAAGAAACUUGCGGAUAAAGGGAUGCUUAAGAAACGGAGCAAAUCGAGAAAAUCCGCUGAAGAAAACUGAUGACUAAAAUCAUUUUCAAAUUUAGUUCUCUUUUGCAGUUUGAUCAGUAAAUCUCUGAAAAUCGAUGUUUAUUAAUGUUCUUACUUUUUAGUCUUUGAAUUUGAUUGUUUGCAUCCUCAAAUCUUUUGGUAAGAAACAAUGUAUUAGUCGCCA